rnacentral:rRNA from 1 species
GACGAACGCUGGCGGCGUGCUUAACACAUGCAAGUCGAACGGAAAGGCCCUGCUUUUGUGGGGUGCUCGAGUGGCGAACGGGUGAGUAACACGUGAGUAACCUGCCCUUGACUUUGGGAUAACUUCAGGAAACUGGGGCUAAUACCGGAUAGGAGCUCCUGCUGCAUGGUGGGGGUUGGAAAGUUUCGGCGGUUGGGGAUGGACUCGCGGCUUAUCAGCUUGUUGGUGGGGUAGUGGCUUACCAAGGCUUUGACGGGUAGCCGGCCUGAGAGGGUGACCGGCCACAGGGGGACUGAGAUACGGCCCAGACUGAGACGGGAGGCAGCAGGGGGGAAUAGGGCACAAUGGGCGGGAGCCUGAUGCAGGAACGCCGCGUGCGGGAUGACGGCCUUCGGGUUGUAAACCGCGUGCGCCUGUGACGAAGCGUGAGUGACGGUAAUGGGUAAAGAAGCACCGGCUAACUACGUG